ACUCCUGCGGGAGGCAGCAGUGGGGAAUUUUGGACAAUGGGCGAAAGCCUGAUCCAGCAAUGCCGCGUGCAGGAUGAAGGCCUUCGGGUUGUAAACUGCUUUUGUACGGAACGAAAAAGCUCCUUCUAAUACAGGGGGCCCAUGACGGUACCGUAAGAAUAAGCACCGGCUAACUACGUGCCAGCAGCCGCGGUAAUACGUAGGGUGCGAGCGUUAAUCGGAAUUACUGGGCGUAAAGCGUGCGCAGGCGGUUAUGUAAGACAGAUGUGAAAUCCCCGGGCUCAACCUGGGAACUGCAUUUGUGACUGCAUGGCUAGAGUACGGUAGAGGGGGAUGGAAUUCCGCGUGUAGCAGUGAAAUGCGUAGAUAUGCGGAGGAACACCGAUGGCGAAGGCAAUCCCCUGGACCUGUACUGACGCUCAUGCACGAAAGCGUGGGGAGCAAACAGGAUUAGAUACCCGAGUAGUCCCAUGA
rnacentral:rRNA from 1 species